rnacentral:lncRNA from 1 species
CCAGAUGAGAGCACGUCUCUAGGAGUCGCUGUGGCUACGUUUGGACAUAGAGAAGGCAGACUGGCAAAAUCAGUAGUUUGCGUUGAAUUGUCUGCACAUUUGCAAGGAGUAGCACACACUAGGAAGCCAGAGGGCUCCUCAGGAAGAGAUAGGAGGCUAAGAAGGCAGUCAUCUGUAUUACAGUAAGGGCGGUGUUCAGCUGGAGAUGGAAAAGAAAAUUUGCUAAGCACAAACUCAAAGGGUGGAAAGGCUAUAAGAGAAUCACUGAGCACUUGCCUGCUGUGCCUGUUCCUGUGACCCAGAGGGUGGUGACACAUUGGAACAAGUUGCCAAUGUGGAGGUUGUGGAUGCCCCAUCCGUGGAGGCAUUCAAGGCCAGGCUGGAUGUGGCUCUGGGCAGCCUGGUCUGGUGGUUGGUGACCCUGCACAUGGCAGGGGGGUUGAAACUCAAUGAUCAUUAUGGUCCUUUUCAACCCAGGCCAUUCUAUUAUUCUACGACUCACCCUAGCGAGGCUUCUGUUUCCAUGUGGAAAUACUUGUCUGCUACUUUCUGCCCUGUGCAAACUGUAUGAACGGUCUGGUCUUUUAUCUGGCGUCAGUUCAGGAGCUCAUCACUUACCUGCUGAUGGCAAGCAUGGGCUCAGCCUGUGAAGAGAAAGAGUGAGAGCAGAGGGAUUGUGUGUCUGUUUAUGGAAGAUGGUUGUGUUCUCACAGUGUUCCGUGCAAAGUUUAUUAAAUGAGGCCAAAUCCAUAAAGCUACAGAUGGAAAGACUGGAAAAUGAAAGCCCCUUUGAGCACAGUAGUCAGAACCAGGUGCCAUCUCCUGGGAUGAAGACAGACUAGUCCUGUUCAGCACAUGUAAUGAAUGAUGAAACCUGUCCCCACAGUCUGCAGCAAAUGACAGUCAUUGUUCUGGGUGAUGCUAAAUAACAGUAGAGCACAGUAUGAAUAAGAUGCCUGUCAGGGAUUUUAAAGUGCUUUGAAUCACAUAACUCUAACCAAGCACCUAAGCAGUAUGUUAGAUUCGGCAUUGUGACCCUCAGAAUCAGCUGUGCUGCACUGCUCUUUGGGUGGCUCCUUUGCCCUUUGGAAAUGAAUCUGUUUCUAAUUCCAUAUCUGUACAGUAACACGUUAAAAGGCAUCAAUGAACAGUAGUAGCAGGGAGAUGUGUCUUUCGGUGUAGUGCUUACUCUGGUGAACAGGCUAGGGGCUGCAUCCUGCUACCACUUCUGCCCACCCUCUUUGUUUUACUUUGCUCAUUCUUUUCACACACCAGGCUGACAAAGCUCUGACACUUAUUGCAAUAUACAUUUCUUCUACUGAACAGGGAAUAAUCUUUCAUUAUUAUAAGCUUUUUCAAUUUUCUUAAGGCCUUUUACCACUCUGCCAGUGUAGCAUAAUUUAUUUUGUUGAAUGGGUUACCCACAUUAAAGUGUGCAAAGCU